rnacentral:rRNA from 1 species
GACGAACGCUGGCGGCGUGCCUAAUCCAUGCAAGUCGAACGCAGUGGGGACGGGUGAGUAACACGUGGGUAACCUCCCAUCAGAGGGGAUAACACUUGGAAACAGGUGCUAAACCGAUACUGAUGGAUGGAACCGCGGUGCAUUAGCUAGUUGGUGAGGUAACGGCUAACCAAGGACACGAUGCAUAGCCGCCCUGAUAGGGGGAUCGGCCACCCGGGGACCGCAACACGGCCCAUACCCCGACGGGAGGCAGCAGUAGGGAAUCUUCGGCAAUGGACGAAAGUCUGACCGAGCAACGCCGCGUGAGUGAAGAAGGUUUUCGGAUCGUAAAACUCUGUUGUUAGAGAAGCGGUAUCUAACCAGAAAGCCACGGCUAACUACGUGCCAGCAGCCGCGGUAAUAC